UAGCUAGUUGGUGAGGUAACGGCUUACCAAGGCGACGAUCUGUAGCGGGUCUGAGAGGAUGAUCCGCCACACUGGAACUGAGACACGGUCCAGACUCCUACGGGAGGCAGCAGUGGGGAAUUUUGGACAAUGGGGCAACCCUGAUUCAGCCAUGCCGCGUGAGUGAAGAAGGCCUUCGGGUUGUAAAGCUCUUUCGGCCGGGAAGAAAUCGCAUGGGCCAAUACCCUGUGUGGAUGACGGUACCGGAAUAAGAAGCACCGGCUAACUACGUGCCAGCAGCCGCGGUAAUACGUAGGGUGCGAGCGUUAAUCGGAAUUACUGGGCGUAAAGCGUGCGCAGGCGGUUUUGUAAGACAGGCGUGAAAUCCCCGGGCUCAACCUGGGAACUGCGUUUGUGACUGCAAGGCUAGAGUACGGCAGAGGGGGGUGGAAUUCCACGUGUAGCAGUGAAAUGCGUAGAGAUGUGGAGGAACACCAAUGGCGAAGGCAGCCCCCUGGGUCGAUACUGACGCUCAUGCACGAAAACGUGGGUAGCAAACAGGAUUAGAUACCCUGGUAGUCCACGCCCUAAACUAUGUCAACUAGGUGUUGGGUGGGUAAAACCAUUUAGUACCGUAGCUAACGCGUGAAGUUGACCGCCUGGGGAGUACGGCCGCAAGGUUAAAACUCAAAGGAAUUGACGGGGACCCGCACAAGCGGUGGAUGAUGUGGAUUAAUUCGAUGCAACGCGAAAAACCUUACCUACCCUUGACAUGCCAGGAACUUGCCAGAGAUGGCUUGGUGCCCGAAAGGGAGCCUGGACACAGGUGCUGCAUGGCUGUCGUCAGCUCGUGUCGUGAGAUGUUGGGUUAAGUCCCGCAACGAGCGCAACCCUUGUCGUUAAUUGCCAUCAUUUAGUUGGGCACUUUAGCGAGACUGCCGGUGACAAACCGGAGGAAGGUGGGGAUGACGUCAAGUCCUCAUGGCCCUUAUGGGUAGGGCUUCACACGUCAUACAAUGGUCGGUACAAAGGGUCGCCAAGCCGCGAGGUGGAGCCAAUCCCAGAAAGCCGAUCGUAGUCCGGAUUGCAGGCUGCAACUCGCCUGCAUGAAGUCGGAAUCGCUAGUAAUCGUGGAUCAGCAUGUCACGGUGAAUACGUUCCCGGGUCUUGUACACACCGCCCGUCACACCAUGGGAGCGGGUUCCGCCAGAAGUAGGUAGCCUAACCGCAAGGAGGGCGCUUACCACGGCGGGGUUCGUGACUGGGGUGAAGUCGAAACAAGGUAGCCGUAGGGGAACCUGCGGCUG
rnacentral:rRNA from 1 species